rnacentral:misc_RNA from 1 species
GAUGAAGAACGUAGCGAAAUGCGAUAAGUAAUGUGAAUUGCAGAAUUCAGUGAAUCAUCGAAUCUUUGAACGCACAUUGCGCCCAUUAGUAUUCUAGUGGGCAUGCCUGUUCGAGCGUCAUUAAGUCCACUUAAGCCCUGCUUAGUGUUGGGAGACUGCUCCAGCGGUGCUACCCUGUAGCUACCCUGCAGCUCCUCUAAGACAGCGGCGGAGUUGUGGUAUCCUCUGAGCUUAGUAACUUGUUCUAGCUUUCGAGUACACCACUUCCCCUGCCGUAAAACCCUUAAUUUUUAAUGGUUGACCUCGGAUCAGGUAGGAAUACCCGCUGAACUUAAGCAUAUCAAUAAGCGGAGGA